UGAGUGAGUCGGUAGUCGGCCGUGGGUAGGUACGGGUGGCGCCGUCGCUACCGCCCGGUCUUCGUCGGGCGGGAGGGGAACAAGGACGCCGGCGACGAGGAGGUGCCGCAGCCGCGGCCUCGGGUGGAGGACGAACGCGAGAGGCAGCGCCGGGCCGAGGAGAAGCGGAGGCCUGCGGCGCCGUUCCUGUGCCGGCGGGGCCCGUAGGCCAAGGCCACCCCGGUCCAGCGCCACGCGCGGUGCACCCGCGACCGCCGCAGGCUCGAGAAGGAGCGGCGGAUGAGCGAGCAGAGCACCAUGGAGCUAUUGUCGCCGCCGCUGCCGCCCCGGCUCCAGCGCCUGGUCCGCCUGCGGCGCCGCGCGCGCCACCGCACCGACGACGAGCGCCGCAUGGACGUCGAGCUCAUGGCGCCGGCGCCCCUCCUCGCCAAGGGGCGCGGCGAGUCCGAGACCACCCCCGAGAAGGAAGAGGAGAGGCAGGAGCGGCAGCGGCAGGUGCGGCGCUGGUCGGAGACGAUGUCCGAAGGGCACGGGCGCGAAGGCACCCGCGCGCUGCGGCAACUCCAGUAGCGCCGGCACCGCGAUGAGCAGCGGCCCAGGAGCCGGUCCUCCCGCCGCUGCUGCCGGCCGAGACGAAGGCUCCUUGGAGACGAGUUGCCGCGCUCCCUGCUGUGGCAGCUACGAAGGGAGAAGUGCUCGCGGCCGAAGGAGUCGCAGGAGUGGAAGAGGACCUACUCGGGGGACUAGCGUCAGCCGGUGUCCUUCUGGGAGCCGGAGCUGCUGCAGGGCCUGGAGCUAGUGCCGCUGUCGCACCGGCCGGACGAGGGGAGCAAGUUCUGCUUGGACCUCCGCGAGCGGCCGCUGCCGAGACCGGGCUUCAAGUGGCGCAAGUUCGAGUGGUCCCGGGAACACGCGUGGCACACCACCGUGUAGCGCCACUGGCGCGAGAUGCGCGAGUAGAUGUUGGACCGGUGGAUGCAACCGGGUAUGGAGUAUCUGAGGGAGCACGUCAUGGAGUUGCCGCUGCUCUCCAUGCGGCCGUUCCCCUUCGAGGAACAACAGUGUAAGUAGCAUCGGUUCCACAAACUCACAAACAGUGUUGCCGUGACCAAGAAGGCCGAUGUCGUUCGGCCCUAUGCACGAGCCAGGCGCGAACAGAGGCAGCACAUGGUCUUUCCCGAGAGAGACAGGUCGUCGAGCUCUGUCUCGACGUGCUCGCCCCUCUACUAGUUGUAGUAGUCGCAGCUGCGGCUGGCUCAGCCCGAGAAGAGUACCAUGUACGUGCUAGGGACCGACCAUGGAGAGGUUCAUCCGGACCGUAACAAGUAGAACAUGAGGUGGGAGCCCCAUCGGAGCGAACGUCGCGAGCCACGGUGUUAACGCCAGUACGAACGUUUACACGGAGGCUACUUUUACGUCCUCUUCAAGGUCGUCUUCGACUACCUGACGUUCCUACACUCCUACUUCCGCUGCAGACUCUAGGACGCGUUGUACUCCUAAGAAUUUGACGUCCCCACCCUUUACUUCAAAAACAGGUUCUAGUCACUGGAGUCCUGGUGUCUCUGUUCGACCGAGUUCUUCAUGGAAAUGUGUACCUGGCGCCGGUGGAAGCACAAGACCCCACGGGGCUGGAAACAGCGACACCGUUGGAAACCUCGAACGUACGAGGAUCCCUAUGGUAACCUCAGUCCCUUCCACGACAGACGUAACCGGUGCAAGGCCCACGAAGUUCUUGGUUAUAUGUUGGAAGGACUGUGUUAGAGUUACUACUAAGUCUGGUUCCACAGAGAACUGUCCUAUCGUAGAAAGGAUACGGAACUCCUCAAAGGCUGCCUACGACACCUCUCCGAUGGUUCACCAUCGAGGUUACAACGUUAACUCCAGUCGUUACCCACGAAGAGGACCCUGCCGAGUGGACUCGACGGUUGUGACUUCCUGGACUUAAAAGUUCGAGCCGUUCCGUACGCACAACGACAGACACCCUGCCAGCCGAGACCUUUUAGUUCGAACGAGAGAACGUAAGAACCACUCCACGGUUUCGAUAGUCCUCUCCAUUUCUGAACGCCUUGUUACCGCAUACAGUCGGUCUGCCGUACCUAUGUCUCACCGUUUUAAGUCCUGUUGUAUGACAAGCCGUUCCUCUACCUGUCACUCUUCAUACUGUCCCAGGAACUCACCACAAGCGACUUCUUUCUAAACCUCUAGAACGGUAAGCCGCUGUUCUGUAAGUAACCUCUCUCUCCGUAAUUAGAAUCACCUCCCGUCUUCGUUUCCUAAGUCUAUCGGGCUCGAAACAUAGUCCUACGGCUGUAGAUACACAAGCUACUAGGCAAGUCGCGUCAGCUACGAGUAUGUCCUAGGGUGGAAAAGUUCCUUACGAACGAACCCCGAAACCGAAGUUUUUGUCACCAAAUACAGUGAGUGGUCUAACUCAAGGACGGACGUCGACUGGAAUAAGACCAUUACUUUCUGCCCUCUUAUCGCGUUCGUCCGUUUAUGUUGCUUUAUGAACCAAGUCCCCUUCUCGAUUACCUUGACCAACCACGAGUGGUCGUACGAGAGUGUCGUAACCUACACUAACUACAACGAUUACCUCCGUCACUCUUUAAUAGAAGUUCGGAUAGGUCCAGUGACAGUAGUCGACUUCUCUUCCUGUUUGUUUUACCGUUUCUUCUGCCACUGUUCCAAGUUUCACCCGUCGACCACGUCCUUCUUCUUUCCCUCUUUCCGUCCCACCCCAAGACCCAGAUGACCUUCAUGGAGUGUAACCGAAUGCCGCCUCGAGAACAUGGUAAGCACAACUAUCGUGUCGAUGAAAAGGUUCAUGAAGUCUAACGAUCGUUAAUGACCUACCGAACCCGAAGAGGACAUAGUCUUCUGCGGCUCGGAGGUCACUCGUACAGCUGUGACUAGAUGCAGAAACACCGUAACCGACAACGUUCAAGGGACACGUAGGAACAUUCCCGUAACAACCAACAGUGUCGACGUAUGUUUUGCCGUUGAGACAACAAGUUGUUCUACGUAUACCGGUAUAAGUCUCGAGGAUACAGAAAGAAGCUAAGGUGAGGUUCACCCGCGUAGAACUUAUCUCGAAGUUGACUAGUUUCGCUUCACCUAUGUAUAUAGCGAUUGGUCUACCCAAUACAACGCAAAAGGUAGUAUGUUGAUCAACCUUAAUAACACCACUACAGAGUCCAUCGUACCGUCCACAAGCAACAAAAGCAAGGACAUUAGUAAUAGAAGAACACGAUGGUCGCGAUAAUGUAACUCUGCCGGUCUCUCGACGUUUCCGACCAUCCCCAAACGUUUCGAGGAUAGUAUGUUGUAAAACGUCUUAGUUAAUCACCUAGUUGUUGGUAGUCUUCAAAACCGUUUCUUUUAGUCAAACAUAAUUGAUUAUCGGUAGAUUAUCUACGGCUGAGAGCUGGCUUUAAGAUGUUGCGACGUCGUUACCUCACCGAAACAAAGGCGAACCUAUGCGACAGCAGGAAAUGUAAACGUAAACGAAACUAUAAAGACUAGUCAGAUGGUUGACCAUAGUAACUAGGUCCAUAACGACCAGAGCGGCAGUGUAUACCCGAAUUGAACUUGUGCAACGUUCGUACCCAACAGGCCUCGUACACGUUAAACCUCUUGUUCUAGCAUAGUCAUCUUUCUUAAGACGUUAUGUAUUCGUAAGGACUUCUCGGAGGUGAAAGUUGCAGUCCUCUAUUCAACGGGGUAUUGACCGGUAGUCUCCCUCUUUAAGCCGAAGCAUUAGAGGUACACUCUAUACGAGGUGUUGAUGGUAAACAAGACUUCCCGGAAAGUCAGUGAAAAGGACCUCCGUACUUCUGACCAUAACAACCUUCUUGCCUGUCACCAUUUAGUUGUGAGUAUGUCCGGGAUAAGGCAUAACAGCUCGGAUGGCACCCAGUCUAUGACCAUCUACCACAACUGUAGACGUGGUAGCCCGACGUACUAGACUCUAGAUCUGAAUCGUAGUAAGGUGUUCUAGGUUGCUACAAACUCCCUUGACACUCCUCGUUGGAACUGGGAGAAUUGCUUAUGUUGCUGCUAGUCUAGACCCUCAGGAACCUAUUGACAGUCGACCCUCUACUCCAGUCCUCCUUCCUCGACUUUGAGCUGAGUGGUCACUAUCUCUUACCUCUCUUGACCUCGCACCCGGUCGCGGUCGAACAGACAGAACCAUCCCACUAAGACUUUGUUUGGUUCUAUGACCAAGACCUGCUUCGGUGACGAAGUCACCUAUGGCGCUGUCUGUUGUACUAAGUCUCUUGUGAUGCACUCUUAAAGAGCCUCCGCUGCCAGUAGUGCUAACGCGUAGCCUAGUGGAGCCAGGAACUGUCGCUGUACCAGAACGAGGAGCUGCUACCGCACCGGCACCUCGCACUGAGCGGCCGGUUCGACGACCUCUUGUUCAGCAGAGACAAGAGUUUCGAACACCGUCUCAUGUGCUACUCUCGCUGCGUGAGCAUCGCUUGCUCACCUAGGAGGUCGGCAAGAAGGUGCGGUAACUACUCCGAAAAACUCAUUCAGACUGACAACUACUACAAUUUGUAACAUAUACACAUCCUAACACACUCACAUACCAACAACUUUCAACAACAUUUAUGACAAUCCAUUCACAAAUGUCGGCCGCGUGGCCGAGUUUUAACGCGGCCAGCGUGGGCGCAGAGCACCCCGGGGCGUAGCGAGACGGGGAAAGGGAAUAGAAGAAGGGAAGCUAGAUCUCGCAAGAACCGGUGUUAAGGGGUGGCGACGAUGGGUGGUGAGGAAGAGGAAGAAGGUCGAGGGGAGGGGUAGCCACGACGGGUGGAGAGGGAGAGGAAGGAGGCGGAGGGAGUGGUAACCCCGAGGGGUGGAGAGGGGGAGGAAGGUGGAGUUCGGCAGUCGCGAAGGUGUUCGUCCGCCCCGACGCUGCUGGCAGGUUGCUGUUGACGGCGCUUCGAAGUUGUGGCCACGAUGCUGCCCCGCAGCUGGCCACAACACCUGCCCUCUUCGGAAGCCGCGGCACCUGUCCUCUUAGGUGGCCACCAAGUUGAAGUUGCUUCGGGUAACGACCUUGGCCGAGUACCGCCACGACCUUGGUCGUGAUUAAAAACGAUGGUAGCCGUGAAACCAAACGAUGGUGGCUGCUGUUAAGAAACGUAAAACAAUGUUGGCCACAAAACUAAACGACCUUGGUCGAAGUUAAAAACGAUGUUGACGGCGUAAGCGAAAAACGACCUUCUUGCGGGUUAAAACGAUGAAACGAUGUUUACCACAAAAUUAAACGAUGUUGGUCAAAGUUAAAAACGAUGGUGGCCACAGAAACUAAAACGAUCUUGUAGGAAGGUGUUUCCGAGGAAAAAAACGUAAAAACGAAGGUGACAAAAACCAAAACGACCUUGAUUUUGUUUCUAAACGAUGAUGACGACAACCGAAACUCGGUACCAAAAGACGAUGACUCGUAAAAAACGACCUUGAUAGUAAAUUAACACGACCUUCACUGUAAAAAACAACGUUGGCGGAAGCGCAAAACGAUGCUGGUCCCUUCAAAAAACGAUGUAGGUACGUACCGAGGUCUCAGCCGCUCUUUGUGGCCUCUGCUGCUGCCGCUCCCCGCCGUUGGCCGCCGCUCCCCGCCGUUGGCCGCCGUUCCCGCCCCUGGCCGCUCCCCGCCGUUGGCCGCCGUUCCCGCGCCCGCCGCCGUUCGCGCUAGGCGGUACCUGCGCCCGACAACCAGUUGCGUGCUCUCCUCCGUACUCCUGCUUCGCCAUGCAGAUCUCCUACGGCGUAGGUCGCCGACCCGUAUUUGUCUAGCUCGCCGAUGCGCGACUGGCCGGGUUUAAACCCGGCCGCGUGGCCGCGGAUAUUCGCGGGUAUGACAAUCCGGCUUCUCUACACUAGGUCCAACCAUUGAUUGAACGCCUAGUUAGGAACCGGACUGAGGGCACAUUUAGGAUAGCCGGAACCUCGGCAUAUAAUUGUGUGUGCACAGGGACGAUUACGUAUGCGAAUUCGGAGCGGAAAAAGUAUACCACAUAUGUUUCGAUCGGAGAAAGUAACGUAGAUCUAGUACAGCAGAAGUUGGAGGUAGCAGUACCGGCUCGUAAGAAAAAAACCCUAAUCUCUCUCCUUCCUCAAGUAUGAAACUUCUAAUUGAGAAGAUGAAGAGGUAAAAACAUAUGUUCCGGUGUUUGGGUAUAAUGUGCAUGGUUCCAUCUUUGAUUACCGGUGAAUUCGGUUACAACAUUUGAUCAAUAAAGAGGAGCGAACUACACAAUUAAUUACACAUAAAAAGAGUGGUUGCGUGUUGUUCUGUUGAGAGAGUGAGGAGCAACCAACUAAUUACACUACGUAAUUUUGUUGGAAGAGUGGGGACCUACGUACGUACCCCAUAAUUACAGGAGCCAAGGAUCAUGCUCCGUAUGGAGUAUUUAAAAUAGAGCUAAGUACAAUCACCGGAACAU
rnacentral:rRNA from 1 species